rnacentral:rRNA from 1 species
UACGAAGGGUGCUAGCGUUGUUCGGAAUCACUGGGCGUAAAGCGCACGUAGGCGGAUUGCUAAGUCAGGGGUGAAAUCCUGGAGCUCAACUCCAGAACUGCCUUUGAUACUGGCGAUCUUGAGUCCGGGAGAGGUGAGUGGAACUGCGAGUGUAGAGGUGAAAUUCGUAGAUAUUGGGAAGAACACCGGUGGCGAAGGCGGCGCUCUGGACCGAGACUGACGCUGAGGCGCGAAAGCGUGGGGAGCAAACAGG